AGACUUCACACCUCCAUAUGCAUAUGUUCAAAGUUAGCAAAUUGGCAACUUCACUUCAUUUGUGAUAAUCAUGUUUAAGACUUCCAUUACCAAUGUUAAACAGAUGAUAUAAAUGAUAUUUUCUGUCAUUUGAGCAACCCUAGCAGCUGCCUAAACACACAGAAACUCUCAUUCUCUCUCAAUUUGCAUUUUUGCAUAUUGCAUUUUCUGGCCAAAAUCUCCAAAGCACUCGAGCAAGCCAUUGUUUAUUCACCAUCCAAGCAUC
rnacentral:lncRNA from 1 species